rnacentral:rRNA from 1 species
AACGAACGCUGGCGGCAUGCCUAACACAUGCAAGUCGAACGAGACCUCCGGGCCUAGUUGCGCACGGGUGCGUAACGCGUGGGAACUUGCCCUUAGGUUCGGAAUAACUCCCUGAAAGGGGAGCUAAUACCGGAUAAUGUCUUCGGACCAAAGAUUUAUUGCCUCUGGAUGGGCCCGCGUUGGAUUAGCUAGUUGGUAGUGUAAAAGCCUAGCAAUGCGACGAUCCAUAGCUGGUAGGAGAGGAUGAUUAGCCACACUGGAACUGAGACACGGCCCAGACUCGUACGGGAGGGAGCAGAAGGGAAUAUUGGGCAAUGGAGGAAGGCCUGAUCCAGCAGUGCGGCGUAAGUGAUGAAGGCCUUAGGGUUGUGAUGCUGUUUUACCCGGGAUGAUAGUGACGGUACCGGGAAAAUAAGCUCCGGCUAACUACGUG